UGGCCUCUGGAGACGGCGCUGAAGAUUUUUACGCAUGCCAUCCAACUUCUGAGCUGCAUAGCCCUCAGCACUGGAAUUGGGUAAGAAAUGUUACAACAGAUCCCAGCACUCUGCAGUUAGGAAACAAAAUAUUGCACAGUGCCACAUGGAAAAAAAGAAAUCUGAUUAAUUAAAGGUGUGGGUGGGUGCGCAAUUGCAUCAAAUUAUCCAUGCGUCAUGGCGAAAUGGGAGAUAAAUGCAUGGAUAUGGCGUGCCAAGGAGGCAACCAAGUGCACUGGUGUGGGAAUGGGGGUGAUGAGAGCUUGAGGGUCACAUCCAGCAUGGGAUUAAUGCGCAAAAUGCUGGGAAGGAAGGCAGUGGUUGGGAGCUUCCAGCAGCUGUGCUGUGCAUGGAAGGUGGAGGGCUGAUGGUAAAAGUGGUGUCUAAACCACAUGCGUGCGUUGGAUUUGCUCAACUGUAACAGUGGUGACUCAGGUGGAGGGGUGGCUGGAUGUGCCCCACCUUCCCUCACUGCCCCCAGGGGAAGGGAAUACUGUCAUCAGGCAACUGUUCAGGUAGGAAUUGCGUGGUCUGGCCACAGGCAGUGGCUGUCUGGGGUUGUUACAGAGGUGCCUGAGAGGGGAGGAAACUGGCUGUAACAGAGAUCCCUGCCAGGGACACCAGAAGGGAGGCAAGGACAGUGGGUGGGUAUGUUGUGUCCUGUGUAAGGUGUAUCCUCCUGCCGUACAGAGAGCUCUUGGGAGUGGUGAGAGCUGAUUGUCUCCAUCUGUGCUGCUCUGGAAGGGUAUGAGCAUCCCUGUUGCUAUUUAAGAAGAGCAAUGCUGACAGGGAAGCCAGGUGAGGCUGGUAGAAGGGUUGAACAGCUCUCUUGUGGGUAGUGGUGGAGAGCCCUGUAUCCAUCUGCAAUGGUCUUUUGCUCCCAUCAACCCAAUUGAUCUUCCCAAGAGAGGGGUCAGGUGCUGGAACAGCCUCCCCAGGAUGGCGGUUGUGGCAUGAAGCGUGCCAGAGCUCAAGAAGUGUAUGGACAAUGCUCUCAGACAUAGGGUUUGGAUUUUGGGUGGUCUUGUGUGAAGCCAAGGGGUGGACUCAAUUAUGAUUGUGGGUCUUUUACAGUUCAGGAUGUUCUAUGAUUCUAAGAGUGCCAGUUCAUUGUGCUGCAGUGUCCUAGGGGCAUGGUGACUGGUGCACGGCUGCCUAGAGGAUGAAGCAAGGAGACCUGAUGGAUUUUUCCCAGAACAGGAAGUAUUUCAGAAGAAAGCAGCACUGCUGGCAAGGAUCUGCAUGUUAAAGUUGAAGGCAGCAGGGAGAGCCCAAGACAGUGAGCACCAACUCCGGGUGGAGCACGUGAUGUUUUUCAUCCCAGCUCCUCCAGCAUCUCUCAGCCAAGGCUCAGCCCUGAGUCUCCAGGAACCAAUGAAGCUGUUGGUCUCCUUUGGCUCCUGGGAAAUAAAGGGGACAUGCAAAAGGUUUAACUACCUCCAGGUUACCAGACAGCUCCCAGUGCUUUGGCUUCAUCUGUGGAUAAUUGCACUUGGAGGCAUCCAUUCCACCUCUGAUGCCACAGCCCCUGGUGUGGGGUGACUGCUCAGACUCAUGCCAGUGGGUGCCAAAACCAACCCCAAGCUGUCAUGCAUCAGCCCUGCUCAUCCAGCCUGCACUGCUGAUUAAGGCCAGGAGGGGCACACUUCGAUUAAUAAAGAGCAGUGCUGCGAGCA